rnacentral:rRNA from 1 species
GGGAAUUCAGAGUUUUACAACUCAUCAACCCUGUGAACAUACCUAAAACGUUGCCUCGGCGGGAACAGACGGCCCCGUAACACGGGCCGCCCCCGCCAGAGGACCCCCUAACUCUGUUUCUAUAAUGUUUCUUCUGAGUAAACAAGCAAAUAAAUUAAAACUUUCAACAACGGAUCUCUUGGCUCUGGCAUCGAUGAAGAACGCAGCGAAAUGCGAUAAGUAAUGUGAAUUGCAGAAUUCAGUGAAUCAUCGAAUCUUUGAACGCACAUUGCGCCCGCCAGUAUUCUGGCGGGCAUGCCUGUUCGAGCGUCAUUACAACCCUCAGGCCCCCGGGCCUGGCGUUGGGGAUCGGCGGAAGCCCCCUGCGGGCACAACGCCGUCCCCCAAAUACAGUGGCGGUCCCGCCGCAGCUUCCAUUGCGUAGUAGCUAACACCUCGCAACUGGAGAGCGGCGCGGCCACGCCGUAAAACACCCAACUUCUGAAUGUUGACCUCGAAUCAGGUAGGAAUACCCGCUGAACUUAAGCAUAUCAAUAAGCGGAGAAA